GAUGAACGCUGGCGGCAUGCCUAAGACAUGCAAGUCGAACGGCAGCAUGGGUGCUUGCACCUGAUGGCGAGUGGCGAACGGGUGAGUAAUACAUCGGAAACGUACCAAGUAAUGGGGGAUAACUACUCGAAAGAGUGGCUAAUACCGCAUACGCCCUUAGGGGGAAAGCAGGGGAUCUUCGGACCUUGCGUUAUUUGAGCGGCCGAUGUCUGAUUAGCUAGGUUGGUGGGGUAAGAGCCUACCAAGGCGACGAUCAGUAGCGGGUCUGAGAGGAUGAUCCGCCACACUGGGACUGAGACACGGCCCAGACUCCUACGGGAGGCAGCAGUGGGGAAUUUUGGACAAUGGGCGAAAGCCUGAUCCAGCCAUGCCGCGUGUAUGAAGAAGGCCUUCGGGUUGUAAAGUACUUUUGUUAGGGAAGAAAAGCUUGUUGCUAAUAUCAGCAAGCCAUGACGGUACCUAAAGAAUAAGCACCGGCUAACUACGUG
rnacentral:rRNA from 1 species